GCGCAGGGUCCUAGCGCCGCCACCGCCAUCUUGUGACGGGCUCUGCGCGGAGUUCCCGCCCCGCGUGCCGGCCGGGAUGUUCGGGAGCCCGGGGCGCUUGUGGUCCAGGGAUGUGUCCUCGUUCCGAUCUGCGGGUGUGCAGGGAAUAAGGGAAAUGCCAUGAAGUAUGUGGGCCAAAUGAAAGAGAGUACUAAAGGAUUCUGGUAAGGCAAUCUAAAUGAGUAGCCUGAAACCUGGCUUCCAGGAGAUUCUCUGCCUGGGUUCUUCAGUCUACAGUCUGAAAUGAAUGCAUGGCACAGCCUCUGUUUCACUGGAAGCUUUAAUAAAUUCUCCAUCUAGCAACAUCUGUUUAUGAAACGUAAGACUGUCAGGUCAUUAAGGCAAGUUCCUUGCUCAGCUUGGCUAAAACUGGCCAGAGAUUCACGGAUUGUGACAGGAAGCCCUGGCUUGCAUGACAUGUGUAACAUGUCAGUAUCCAGACCUGGACACUCUCUACAUAGUGUGUGUAUCCAUUCAUACAAAUAUACAGAGCAUGCUUUCUCCUUUAGGGAAGGAGGAAAAUUUUCAGCUCACUGCUUACUACAAAACUUGUGGAGGACUACAGUACAGGCAGAGCCCUCAAAUCUCAGGAAGAGAGCAGAACAUAAAGCAGGUGUGUUACAUUAUUUUAAUCCUAUCAACACCAGCUGAAUGAAUUUGUUGAUCCAUGAUAGCAAAGUAACUAUAAGCUACUGUUAGCAGUUGACAUAAGAAAUACAGUUGGCUGCACAGUGAUAAACUUGUCACCAGACAGUUUUUCCACUGCAGAGCAAAAACUCAUACUUGUCACCAAACAGAUAUUAUAGGUUUCUUUUCUAUAGUGGAAGAUCUGGAUGAGCUCACAUGAAUUUCUUGCAAUCUGCAAUUAUGUCUGAUUCUCUAUUUUGAAUAAAAAUUGCCCUUGUGUUUCUGUGUGUAUUUUUGUUAUGGGAGAGUGGAUUUACACACUGAAGUGCUCCCAUGAAAAACUUCUUUGAAACUUCCAGGGAAAAGCUUCAACACAGCAAUGGGUUUUCACAUACAAAUAUUUGUUAAAAAUACUCCAUCCGCCUCUCCUGAGGUGUUUUCCCUUGCAAAAGUUACUUAGGGAAAAUGAAGAAAAUCAUUAAGGAAAAUCACCUCAUCCUGUUGUGUCAUGUGUAAAUUAUGUGCAGCCGUAGCAUUUGCCUUUCUUUGGUCAUGCAUUCUUCCCUCUGUUAUUAGGCAUCCUGGUGCCUGUCUGUUCUGUCUACAGCUGUCAGGAGUCAUCAGGCAAAGUUCAGUUUUGCAUUACUUCCAAAAUCCCAUUAACAUCAGUGGGAGUCUGAGCUCCAACAGUUCACACUUAGGUUUCAGGCUAAUGCCCUGCUGCACACUGAGUGUCUUGGUAUGCAAAGCAUGGCUUUAUUAGCAAGUCAGAUUUUUCCUUU